GAUGGAGACUUGAUCUUGCCAGAAAGCAUGCAGUUUGUAUAAAAGUGAAAUUUAGAGAAAUGCACACCUAAAACAGAUUGUAGGGGGCCUACAAGGGUUGGCUGAAACAGGAUUUCCCAGGAUCCAUCUGUGCUUAUUCUUUUCUAGCUUAGGGAGUAUUUGGAACAGGACCUGUAGCCUGAUAGACAUUCAACAAACAGCAGCUGCCAUUACUGUCAUGGAUCACUUGGUGGCCUCAAUUCUACUUUGGAGGUAUAGUGGCAGAAUAUACUAAACAUCAUCUUAGGAUUCCAGAAACCGCAUGUAUCCCAACUUCCUCUUCCUAAUUGGUUCGAUAUAGACAAGUUACUGAACUUCUCUGAGACCCAAUUUUCUAAUCUAGAAAAUGGAGGAAAUACCUGUCCUGUAUGUCUACAUAUUACCCAGGAUUUUAGCAAGACUAUCUGAUUUGAAGGACAUGUUACCAUCCACAAGCAGGACAUCUCUGCAUUUCUAAGCUACUGUCCUGGUAGUCUACUUGGAUCUGUGUAAGCUGUCUCCUCAAGGGUCACCUCUUUUGCUGUUCUUUAUUUUCUAAGGCAGUGGAGUGUCUAGAACUCUUGAACAAUGAGAAGUACCAUAUAACAGUGAAGGCCAAAGUUUGAAAUGGCAUGAAAUAAUAAUAUCUUCUAGGC
rnacentral:lncRNA from 1 species